CUGGACUUCCACAGACAAUCCCAGCAAGUGCAGGUGACUCCAGGAUCGACCCCAGGAGGAAGGAGGAGGGUCUGGCCAUGUCACAGCUGGUGGUGCUGGGGUUGGCGCUGCAGGGAGAGGCAGAACACAGAGAUCUUCUCUUCAGCCUGUAGUGCUCUGGGAUGGGUACUGCGCCCCUUCCUGUAGAAACCUGAAGGGUCUCCAGCUCACUCGGAAGCCAUCUGUGUCCUGUGGUCGAACUCUGCCCUCUUGCUCC
rnacentral:lncRNA from 1 species